AAUGUAUUCACAAACAUUAAUCUUUUUUUAUAUUUAGCCCUAAUUAGUACUCCUAUAGUAUAUUGUUUACUUUAUAAAUUACAGUUUCCGUUAGCUAAUAACACAGAGCCUCCGCCGCCCACAAACUCGUCGCGCCGCCACCAGUCCGCUCACUCCGCCGGCCGCCGUUCAGUGACAAAGCGUAGAAAUCAAAAGUGUAAGCAUCAUGGAUCUUGAUCCGUUGGCUGGUCCUGCCAAGGUGCCAAGGAAGGUGAAAUAUAAGCCAAAAGCUCCUGUCAAGAGAGUAAAGAAAGAAGUCCUUCCUAAAGUUGAGAAAGAAGAAGACGACAUUGAUGAGGCCAAGGCAGAGUAUCUUCUGCGCCGCCUUCAUGAAACAUCUUCAGGUAGGCCGAAGCCUGAAAAGAAAGCUCAACUUGCCCAAGUUGCAUUCGGUGUUGGAGAAGCAUCUACCUUCAAGUCAUAUCAUCCUUCCAAUGGCACAUCCUCUGAUGGGAUUCCCAAAGUGGGGAAAGAAUAUAAAGAACCGUGGAAUUACUACUCGAACUAUCCAGUAACACUUCCCGUUAGAAGGCCUUAUGCAGGAAAUCCAGAAAUUCUUGAUAAAGAAGAAUUUGAUGGAGAUGAAGGGACAGCAGUACCGGAAGAAAAUGCAACAAAUGCAGCUAAAGAACUCGGCCUUUUGGAUAAAAGUCUGGAGAAUAAUAUGUUCUUUCUUCAGCUACCAAAGAUGCUGCCCGGGAUAGCACAGUCAGCUGAUUCGGAAGUCCCGGAACACCAAAACAAUGGAAGCCCCUCAAGGGGUGAAGUCAUAUCUCAAAACCUUACCACUUUGGAUUCACUGCCACAAGGAUUGAUUGGGAAAAUGUUGGUAUAUAAGAGUGGUGCUGUGAAGAUGAGGAUUGGAAAUGCAAUAUACAAUGUAACUGCAGGGAUGAAGUGCAUGUUCUCGCAAGAUAUUGUCGCCAUCAAUGCAGAGAAGAAACUCUGCUGCAACUUGGGAGAGUUGAACAAGCGCGCAGUCGCAACCCUGGACGUUGACAGCAUGCUGCAAGGUAUGACUGAUUUAUGAUGAUUCUUUUGGUCAUCAACUUACGAAAAUUUUGCUUGCAAGUUCCGGAAUCAAUAAUCAUUGAGCACUAUAUUUAAAUGAGAGCAUAAAGUAAAUCACUUGAUGUAACGACCCGCUAAGCCGAUAUUAUUAUAAACUAUAUUAUUGGCUUGAUUAUCUAUAUAAGUAACUUUUAUGCGAUUAAAUCCGAGCUACGUUAGAUUGUCUUUGUUUGUUUGACGAUAGGGAAGUGAAUAAAUAAAUAAAACUCCAAAAUUUAAAAUUUUAAUGUCUGAUACAUCCAACAAAAGUCCAACGAAAAUUUAAUUUAAUACAUCCUUCGUUCUAAAGAAAAUCGGGUACUUCAGCGCGGGCAGCCACGAACUUGAACCGAUCAUACCUACACUAAAUUUAAUGAUUAAGUAAGCAAAUACUCAAAUAAUUAAUAAAAAAAUAAAACUAAAAAUAAAAAUUAUUAUUUAAUAUAUGCUUAUCCAAGAAGGAAUCCUUGUCAUGGCAGCAUUUAAUGCUGCCUUAAUGAGUUGUAGAAAUAAAGAGGGCUGCAUUAAUGAAGUGUGGAAAAAUAUCUCCCAACAAAUCAUCCACCACAUUCUCUGACAGAAGAUGUUGUAUAUAUAUACACAUAUGCAAAUCAUCCCCCACAUCCUACCAACAACGUGUAAUUCCACCACAUCCUACCAACAAAAUCGGAGCAAGGGGAGGAAGAGGAGCGAGGGCGGCAAGAGAUCAAUCCAUAACCGAGAAAGACCACCGAACAAGGUUGAGCAGCGAAGUGGUGGGGGAAGUGCUAUUGAGACAAGACACUUAAUUCAGUCAGAUUUUGACUCUCGGAGGUUCAUGUCUUCAUACAUGGAGCCGCGUUCAUUUGCUUCCGUUGUGCGUCUCAAAAGACUCAGGUCUAUUUUAUUCAAAACUCUGAUUUAUUUCGAGCUAUUCCCAUUUGUUUCGGGCUGUGGUUGAGUUGUGUUGAUUUUCCCCUUUCUUCCCCGCUUCUUUAAUCCUCCCCUAGUCGCGAUGAACCGUGUUUUCUAUCCUUAGAAAAUGCGGUCGUGACACUUGAACAACAUUUUGUUUUGAAAUAUUACCUUUACUUUGUACUGUUACACAAUGACAUUCUCAUUGUGUUUAAGAUAUUGGGAUAUUGUUUUGAUUGAUAGUUA